UACGAAGGGGGCUAGCGUUGCUCGGAAUUACUGGGCGUAAAGCGCACGUAGGCGGAUUGUUAAGUCGGGGGUGAAAUCCUGGAGCUCAACUCCAGAACUGCCUUCGAAACUGGCGAUCUUGAGUCCGGGAGGGGUGAGUGGAACUGCGAGUGUAGAGGUGAGAUUCGUAGAUAUUCGCAAGAACACCAGUGGCGAAGGCGGCUCACUGGCCCGGUAUUGACGCUGAGGCGCGAAAGCUAGGGUAGCAAACGGG
rnacentral:rRNA from 1 species